UUACUAUGUGGAAGUUGCUGUUGAUUAUAAAAGCAUUGAAGAAACUGCACAUGUUUCAAAAUCAUUUUUUUAUUUUUUAUUUUUUAUUUUAGAGAUUUAUGGAUAUAUACAUUUUAUUGGGCCAGUAAUAAAAUUGCAAGGAAAAAUCACAAAAUAUAAAGCUCUAAAAAAUAAUUUAUCUAUUUACGUAGUUUUGUGUUAUAAAGAUUAAAAAAUUCACAUUAAAUAAUUUUUACUGAAAUAUGUAGUUUAGAGGCAACGAAGUUAGAAAGUCUUGAAUCAAAAUUAGAAAUUAAGAAUGAUUUUUGAUAAUGGCUUUUAUCUUGCCCCUCGUAUACUAGCCACUGUAAAAACCAUGUAAAAACUACUUA
rnacentral:lncRNA from 1 species